rnacentral:piRNA from 1 species
UUGGGGAGGAUUCCCUUUGUGCUGUCC